rnacentral:rRNA from 1 species
UACGUAGGGUGCAAGCGUUGUCCGGAAUUAUUGGGCGUAAAGAGCUCGUAGGCGGUCUGUCGCGUCGGAUGUGAAAACCCAGGGCUCAACCCUGGGCCUGCAUUCGAUACGGGCAGACUAGAGUUCGGUAGGGGAGACUGGAAUUCCUGGUGUAGCGGUGAAAUGCGCAGAUAUCAGGAGGAACACCGGUGGCGAAGGCGGGUCUCUGGGCCGAUACUGACGCUGAGGAGCGAAAGCAUGGGUAGCGAACAGG